rnacentral:lncRNA from 10 species
UACUGAUUGGUGCAUUUAUAAUCCUUUAGCUAGACAAGGAAGUUCUCCAAGUCCCCACUAGAUUAGCUAGACACAGAGCACUGAUUGGUGCGUUUACAAACUUUGAGCUAGACACAGGGUGCUGAUUGGUGCGUUUACAAACCUUGAGAUAGACACAAAGUGCUGAUUGGUGCAUUUACAAACCUUUAGCUAGACAUAAAAGUUCUCCAAGUGCCCACCCCACUCAGGAACCCAGCUGGCUUCCCUAGUGGGUCUGGUGUAGGUCCGCUGGCGGAGCUGCCAGCCGGACACACGCCCCACGCCCGCACUUCUCAGCCCUUCCGCGGUCCAUGGGUCCGGCCGUCGUGGAGCAGGGGGCGGCGCCCGUCGGGGAGGCUCCAGCCGCGCGGGAGCCAACGAUCUCCUCCGGGAGUGGUGGGCAGCUACUGUGAAAGGCCUGGUUCAAAAACCUCACAGCGGUUGUUUUCAGAGUUGUCCCUCCUGUGUACUCUCAAAGCCCCAGAAUGAAGCAAAGCAUCCUCCCUUUUCAAACUGGCACUCUUCCCCAACCUUGAGGACCACUAGGCACUUUGUUUUUAAAGCCACAGCAGAGGAAGCUCACCUAUGGCUACUGCCACUACAGGUCCACAGGGAGUAAUGCCCGGCUACCACUGAUGUUCAUUAAGACCCAAGGGUUCUUCAGUCGGCUUGUGGUAGAUGCUGCCUGGCCUGGGACUCACCCUUCAGGACAGUGGGCUCCCUUCUGGCCCAAGGCAGGUCCAGAAUUACUGUCCAGGAGCCAAGGCUUUGAAUCAGGGACCUCAAGAGCCCGCUUGAUGUUCUACCCCACUAUGGCUGCGCCUGUACCUAAGGUGCAAAAGUCCCCUUUACUUUUCCCUCUACUUUUCUCCAGCAUAAGGAGUCUCUCCCCAUAGCCACCAUGGCUGGAAAUGUGCUGAGUCUCAUUUGAAGCCAGCUAGUCUCAGAGUCUCACAGAAGGCCCACUGCAUACCUAGGUAUCGCUGGUAUCGCUGGCUAUUUGGAGCUUAAGAGCUCUUCAAUCCUCUGACAUCUUGAUUGCAGCCUUUGAGAGACCCUGGGCCAGAGGAUCCAGCUAUUGCCAUGCUUAAAUUUCCAACCCAAAUGUAACUGUGAGAUAAAUGUUGUUUUAAGCCACUAAUUUUUUUAAU